UAAACAUCUCUGAACGACGUCCUUCUCACUGGUCUAAUAAUCUGGUAGGAGUACUUAUGAGAUUCAGAAAGGAGCCAGUUGCCAUUACUGCAGACAUUGAACAAAUGUUCCAUUGCUUUAUCGUACUGCAAGACCACAGCAAUUACCUCAGGUUUCUUUGGCACAGAGACAAUGACACCAGCAAGGAAAUGGUUGAAUACCGCAUGAAGGUGCACGUGUUCCGUAACAGUCCUUCACCUGCUGUCGUUAUAUAUGGGCUACGUAGGGCUGCCUCUGAUAGCGAGUCAGAGUUUGGGAAAGAUGCCUGAAACUUCAUUGAAAGAGACUUCUACGUGGAUGACGCACUCAAAUCCUUGCCAACGGUGGAGGAAGCCAUAGAUCUGCUCAAAGGGACACAAGAGACAAGAGAUGGGUGAGAAAUCAUCAUGGGGGUCUGGUCUGAAAGGAGAAGAUAAGGAAAUAGAAAAUCUACAUCAGAGGCAACGUCACUGGAUGUAAGAGCAGUAAAUUCACUGAUGCAAAGUGCACAGAAAAAGGAAAAUAGAAAGGCCGUUUUAAAAAGGCACGUCUCAUAAGGAGAUGAGCAAAUGGCUGGUGCUGUAGCUUGAUUGACAGUUGAAUAUGUUCUAGCUGUUGGAAAUGGCGACCGUUGGCGGAGAAGAAGCUGGAGCAUUGUUGAGAGUGUGCGACGCGAUGAUGUCACUUCUAGGUGCCGGCUCUGCGCUCCCAGAUGAAGAGGCAGCACAGACUAGAUGAAUGAAUCGUGGAUCAAGAUCUUCGCCUGAGAAAUCUUCCUGGAGGCAUCGUCUGUGCCAAGCUUCUCCACCGUAUCCACGAGACUGACUGUCUCCAAUCAAGCUGUUCCUUCACCUUCAUGAGAACUUCCGACUGCUCCAUUCACAUCUGACAAUACUGAUAAAUAUAACACUUGCACAUGUAAAUAGUGGGGGUCAUGACACCAUGUGCCCCCUUAUUUGCAUUCGCUAACAAGGUCUCAUCAGAACAGCUGUCGAAAUGCAAGACUGUCCAGUCGGAUCCGGGACAGUUGGAAGGAAGCAGUACAGUACAGGUCCUGCAGCCCAGAGCUGAUAGGAAGCCAUUAGGGUGGGAUCACACAUAGGUUUUUCAUGGUGUUUUUGUGCACGUUUUUAGUACCUGCAUUUUUAGGUGUGUUUUUUGCGGUAAAUCCAGCUCCAGAUCUUAGAUGAAAAUCUAUGGCAAAUAUGAACUGAAGGACACACAAGUAUUCUUUUUUUGUUUCAUCAGGUGGCAUUUUAAAGGGCUCUGGCAUAUUUUGAAAAGCAGCAUGCUGAAGGUUUUGCUAUUUUCUUCUGGCACUUUGACAACAUCUAGGGGAAAAUAAGUAGUGUCAAAUAAACAUGGUUCACACAGUCAUUUAGGAAAAACUGCUGCUAAAAAAAAAAACGCAAGAAAAAUGCAUGUGAAAAUAAGUGACCAUUUUCUAUGGCUUAUUUUAGUAGUAGACCCUUAGGAUUGUGACUGGAGUGAUACAGAAUUGUGAGUACAGCUCUGGAUGUGUCUGGAGUAUAGAACAUCAUGUAACAGUAGAACAGAACUGAGAGUACAGCUCUGCACGUGACUUGAGUAUGGCAGAGGAUAGCCACAGUUCCUCUGAAUAUACAGUGAUGAUAUCUGGAUGUAAGCUGUCACAUGGUAUUGGAGGUGGAGUUGCUCUCUUUCCGGAAUUUUGUCUGUUUCCCAUAUUCGGUUUUCUUCUACAGAACAUUUUUCAAAUGUUUGUCCGUGUUUGGAGGAGUUGGGAGGGUGACGUCCAAUACAGCAAUUCUCAAGUAUACUGAGAUAAGGUCGGCAUGGCCAGAGAGUCUGGAAAGUUCCGAUAUUUCAGGAAUGUGAAAUUCCGAUCACAGAAGGUUCCUGUCUUAUGCCUCAGUGAUAUAAUUGGAGAGGAACUUGGAUGCACUGACACACUGUGACGCAAUGUCGCUCACCACAUGACAGUUGAAAUGAAUGGAGAACGUGGCCCAUGACAGAUCUGUCUGAUCAGGAAUCCGUUUUUCCUUUAUAAUGGCCUCACCAACAUUGAUCCACUAUGGGUGUUGCCUGGUGACUGUUUGCUCUGUGCUGUACCUGUCAUGGCUGCACCCAGAGCUACAUGCUGUGUUAACCCUUAGUAUAUAGUUUUUGUUUUGUUUUUUGUAUUUUCAUUUUCCUUCCCUAUCUUCCUUGAGCCAUAACUUUUUUUAUUUUUCCGUUCACAUAUCCAUAUGAGGGCUUAUUUUUUGCAGGACAAGUUGUACUUUCUAAUGCCGCCAUUUAAUACGGCAUACAAUGUAGUGGGAAGUGGUAAAAAAAAAUUCUGAAUGGGGUGGAAUUGGAAAAAAAGCAAUUCUUCCUACAGGUUUUAUUCCAACAGCGUUCGCUUUGCGGCAAAACUGACCUGUGCCCUUCAUUCUGUGGGUGAGUACGAUUACAACGAUACCACAUAUAUAUAGAUUUUUUAUGUCUAAAUAGUGUAAAAAUAAAAACUUUGAAAAAUAUGUAUU